GAGAGGACUAAUAAGAACUGCUAACUCCUACCACUGGUACUAACCUAUCAGGCCUUUCC
rnacentral:tRNA from 1 species